UUAUUAUUUGAACAACAUAUGGAUCUUACAGGUGCGUUGGUGUGUGCAUGUGAGGUGCUUACAUCAGAACUGAAAUUUAGAAGAUUGCAUGAACUCUUACAAGAAGAAACUGGAUGAACAGAAAGACUAGUUAAACUAGAAGAAGAAGAAGGCAUGGAUGUAGCAUUUCUUAGAGUAGUAGAAGUGUGAUCAGGACAAGAAGUGUGGCAUUUUGAGCAUAGGAAAUACAGUCCAUUCCUUGCUCUACCAAUCUCCAGAGGGCUCUUCAGUGAAGGGCCCUGCAUUAAACAAGAAAAUUUAUUGAAACUAACAACUCCUUUGAGAUGUGAAGCUAGACAAUGGACUGAUAUUAAAUUGAACUUGAAACUAGGCACAAACAAUACUUUCCACAAAGUUAGUGAUGGAUUCAAGCAUACAUCACCAAUCUCAGUCACCUUUACCUUGUAACCAUUAGGUAGAGUAAUUAGGAAUGGGUAAGGUAAGUGUCUUAUAUUUGUAAGUAAGGAUUUGUUGAAGGUCAUGUGGUGUGUGGCCCCUGAGUCUAUAAUCCAAGAGUCAACAGAUAGUUUGAAACACUUACAUGACAGAUUACCAAUAUCAGAAAUUGAAGAACAACAUGCUAGAAUACCUGCAAAGUUCACAGCUCCACCUGUGUUGUCAUUCACAGUCCCUGUUGUA
rnacentral:lncRNA from 1 species